rnacentral:lncRNA from 1 species
AAAUCAACCAAUUCCAUUCUAUCACACAGUUGUCGUAUCUACUAUCACACAGUUCCUCAUUAUAGCCAUAACUCAUGCAUAAUUCCUAUCCUUUAUAGGCGUAAGAGUAUAAACUGUACACAGUUCCUCAUUGUAGCCAUAACUCAUGAAUAAUUCCUAUCCUUUAUAGGCGUCAGAGUAUAAACUGUGCGUGGCAGCUACCUACGUAAGUGGUGCUUGCCAUGCAAAUUCAGAAUUUUACCACUACUUCUAGAUGCCAGAGAAUGAGACACGUUAGUUGUUAUGGUCCGAUGAAAAUAUUGGAUCACUCGUCAAUGUGCGGCGCCUGCCCGAACUGAUCUCGCGACCUGCAGCUGCGACGAAACACACUGGGCAGCCUCGACGAGCCACACCUAACCGA